ensembl:lncRNA
CGCCUCUUAACAUAAUGUGUAGCCUUGUCCGGCCAGAGCGAGGAGACAUAAACAUAAAACCCAUUAUAAACUUGAUAUAAACAUGAUUUCUAGUCGUGUUUUCUUUUGGAAGGCAAAAACAAAGUAGUUUCGCUUUCUCAACAGAACAACGUCACACACCGUGGCCUUGACUGAGCAGAGGCGGGCGGCUUGAGAACGGUGCGGCAGGCGGACUCUAUGAAGGCGCGUACCUUGGUCUUGCAUCAACCUCAUGUGACGACCCCGGGCUGGACGCCGCUUCGUCCAGAGUGAAUGCUGAUUCGGCGAUCCACAGCACAAAGUUGUUGUAUUUUCUUAGCGACCAUCACGGAUCAGUUCCAGGCAUGACGAAAUGGAUAUCGUCCUCUUUUUUUGGAAGGCCAUACGAAGUAGUUUCGCUAUCACAGUGAAACACACAGCUUCUAUACAACAUGGCGGCGAGAAUAAAAGCUCUAUAUGAGCCCACAGGUAACAGAUGUCACACGGGAGUUGUCGACUUUAUGAGGCCUCGGAGAGCAUGUGUCAGACCUUCACAGUGAGCAACGAGCGAGAGAGUCUCAGCAAGAAAUAUUCCUCUGAGCCCCAUCAUCUCAUGUUCAUUUGGGGAGACUGAGCCCCCCCAAAACUGAAAUCCAAGAACCGCCUCUGGGGAUGCCUGGUCUGCGGGUGUGAUUAGUGUGCCAGGGUGAUGUGUGUGGUAAAUGUCUGAGAUGAAUCCAGCCAUGAAAUUGAUCUGGGCUUUUGAGUGUUGCACUUGUCUUUAAGGGAAAAGACUACAGGAUAUUACUGAAGCAAUGAGAAGUAGCCUUCCUGUCAGCCAAGCCACUGCUGCAUGACACUGAGCAAGAUUUAAAUCACAGGCUUAAGUAAUGGGCAGCAAUAAGCUGCUCUUGCUGUCUGUCUCUGUAUAGCAAACAUGUAGGUGCUGUUUUCUUGCAGUCUUAACAGCUUGAUUUGUGCAUUUCUAAAGUGAAUUUUACAUGUUAUAUUUUAUUUUAUACAUGCAUUUCAUGCAUAAAUGCUUGUAUUUUAUGGCAGAGUGAUUUGGAUUGUAGAUUUUAUUCACAUUGAAAUCUGUUCUGUUGUAGGAAAAUAAGGCAUGAAUAGAUUUCUUCUAAAACGCAGAAUGCAUACUGUAUUGCUUUAGACAAUAUGCAAUGUUUUUUGCACAUAAAAAAUGCUUUUUACUGACUGGCUCACUGUUUCAUCACCAUUUUAAGUUCAUUUAACUCUUUACCCACCAGGGGGAAUUUAAAAGUAAUAAUUUUAUGUUGUUAGCCACCACCAGCAUUUUUGACCAUAUUCACAAAUCUUCCAGGACUCCCAGAAUAUCAUAUCAAUGGCAGUAAAGG